rnacentral:rRNA from 1 species
GGUUAAGUGAAUAAGGGCGCACGGUGGAUGCCUUGGCACUAGGAGCCGAUGAAGGACGGGACUAACACCGAUAUGCUUUGGGGAGCUGUACGUAAGCUAUGAUCCAGAGAUUUCCGAAUGGGGGAACCCAACAUCUUUAAUAGGAUGUUACGAUUGUGUGAAUACAUAGCACAUUCGAGGUAGACGCAGAGAACUGAAACAUCUAAGUACCUGCAGGAAGAGAAAGAAAAUUCGAUUCCCUGAGUAGCGGCGAGCGAAACGGGAAAAGCCCAAACCAGCAAGCUUGCUUGUUGGGGUUGUAGGACUCCAAUAUGGUAGUUCUUUCAGAUAGUCGAAUGACUUGGAAAAGUCAGUCAAAGAGGGUAAAAACCCCGUAGACGAAAUGUGGAAGACACCUAGGAGGAUCCUGAGUACGGCGGAACACGAGAAAUUCCGUCGGAAUCCGGGAGGACCAUCUCCCAAGGCUAAAUACUCCCUAGUGACCGAUAGUGAACCAGUACCGUGAGGGAAAGGUGAAAAGCACCCCGGAAGGGGAGUGAAAUAGAACCUGAAACCGUGUGCCUACAACAAGUCAAAGCCCGUUAAUGGGUGAUGGCGUGCCUUUUGUAGAAUGAACCGGCGAGUUACGAUUGCAUGCGAGGUUAAGUUGAAGAGACGGAGCCGCAGCGAAAGCGAGUCUGAAUAGGGCGUUUGAGUAUGUAGUCGUAGACCCGAAACCAUGUGAUCUACCCAUGUCCAGGUUGAAGGUGCGGUAAAACGCACUGGAGGACCGAACCCACGUACGUUGAAAAGUGCGGGGAUGAGGUGUGGGUAGCGGAGAAAUUCCAAACGAACUUGGAGAUAGCUGGUUCUCUCCGAAAUAGCUUUAGGGCUAGCCUCGGAAUUGAGAAUGAUGGAGGUAGAGCACUGUUUGGACUAGGGGCCCAUCUCGGGUUACCGAAUUCAGAUAAACUCCGAAUGCCAUUCAUUCAUAUCCGGGAGUCAGACUGUGAGUGAUAAGAUCCAUAGUCGAAAGGGAAACAGCCCAGACCACCAGCUAAGGUCCCAAAAUAUAUGUUAAGUGGAAAAGGAUGUGGGGUUGCACAGACAACUAGGAUGUUGGCUUAGAAGCAGCCACCAUUUAAAGAGUGCGUAAUAGCUCACUAGUCGAGUGACCCUGCGCCGAAAAUGUACCGGGGCUAAACAUAUUACCGAAGCUGUGGAGUACACCUUUAGGUGUAUUGGUAGGAGAGCGUUCUAAGGGCGUUGAAGGCAGAUCGUGAGGACUGCUGGAGCGCUUAGAAGUGAGAAUGCCGGUAUGAGUAGCGAAAGACAGGUGAGAAUCCUGUCCACCGAAUGACUAAGGUUUCCUGGGGAAGGCUCGUCCGCCCAGGGUUAGUCGGGACCUAAGCCGAGGCCGAUAGGCGUAGGCGAUGGAUAACAGGUUGAUAUUCCUGUACCCGUUGUUUUUGUUUGAGCAAUGGAGGGACGCAGGAGGCUAAGGAAUGCAGACGAUUGGAAAUGUCUGUCCAAGCAGUAAGUCUGAAGAGGAGUCAAAUGCUUCUUUUCUUAAGGACAAGCUGUGAUGGGGAGGGAAAUAAUAGUACCGAAGUUCCUGAUGUCACACUGCCGAGAAAAGCUUCUAGUGAGAAAACAGCGGCCCGUACCGCAAACCGACACAGGUAGUCGAGGAGAGAAUCCUAAGGUGAGCGAGAGAACUCUCGUUAAGGAACUCGGCAAAAUGACCCCGUAACUUCGGGAGAAGGGGUGCUGAUCAUACGAUCAGCCGCAGUGAAUAGGCCCAAGCGACUGUUUAUCAAAAACACAGGUCUCUGCAAAAUCGUAAGAUGAAGUAUAGGGGCUGACGCCUGCCCGGUGCUGGAAGGUUAAGAGGAGUGCUUAGCGCAAGCGAAGGUACGAAUUGAAGCCCCAGUAAACGGCGGCCGUAACUAUAACGGUCCUAAGGUAGCGAAAUUCCUUGUCGGGUAAGUUCCGACCCGCACGAAAGGCGUAACGAUUUGGGCACUGUCUCAACGAGAGACUCGGUGAAAUUUUAGUACCUGUGAAGAUGCAGGUUACCCGCGACAGGACGGAAAGACCCCAUGGAGCUUUACUGUAGUUUGAUAUUGAGUGUCUGUACCGCAUGUACAGGAUAGGUAGGAGCCGUAGAAAUCGGAACGCUAGUUUCGAUGGAGGCGCUGGUGGGAUACUACCCCUGCGCUAUGGC